rnacentral:rRNA from 1 species
GAUGAACGCUGGCGGCGUGCCUAAUACAUGCAAGUCGAGCGAACAGACGAGGAGCUUGCUCCUCUGACGUUAGCGGCGGACGGGUGAGUAACACGUGGAUAACCUACCUAUAAGACUGGGAUAACUUCGGGAAACCGGAGCUAAUACCGGAUAAUAUAUUGAACCGCAUGGUUCAAUAGUGAAAGACGGUUUUGCUGUCACUUAUAGAUGGAUCCGCGCCGCAUUAGCUAGUUGGUAAGGUAACGGCUUACCAAGGCAACGAUGCGUAGCCGACCUGAGAGGGUGAUCGGCCACACUGGAACUGAGACGCGGUCCAGACUCCUACGGGAGGCAGCAGUAGGGAAUCUUCCGCAAUGGGCGAAAGCUUGACGGAGCAACGCCGCGUGAGUGAUGAAGGUCUUCGGAUCGUAAAACUCUGUUAUUAGGGAAGAACAAAUGUGUAAGUAACUAUGCACGUCUUGACGGUACCUAAUCAGAAAGCCACGGCUAACUACGU